GUGUCUGGGGUCCCUGGGAGUCCCGGCUGCUUGUGCAGCCCAGAUGGGAGUCAGAAGCUCCCAACUCCUCAAUUUCCUUCUCUCUCCUGGAAGCAGAAGGGGUCUGAUGACAGAUCCCUCCCUGCUCUUGAGAGCAGCCUGCCUUUGGGCUACAUAAACACACUCAUUUCUCAUACCGAGCCUUCGCAGGUCUCCCCCUGCUUUUCCUCACCAUCCUACCAACGGACCUCAGUCUCCAGCAGACCAGUCCUGUACCACAGUUGAGACCAGGUCUGCUCUGCCAAUGCCCACCUCCUUGAGCCACAGCUAGCUGCCAACUGGGCUGAACACCUUCUAGUGCCUGGCUCAGUGGAGUUCAGGACCAAUGGCCCAAGCCUUCCUCCAGCUACAGUGGGUCAGAGCUUGGCCAGGGGAUAGGCAUUCUCAGUAGCAAUCCCACAAUGCACUGUACCUCAGAGAGAGAGAACACGCCACAGGGCAUCGAGUGAACCAGCCUCCAUGCAGAGGGGGCAACGGCUCACAAUACUGCUCAGGAGAAGACAAAGGUCAGGCUGUCCUAGGGCACCCCUCAGUCUACCCUUUGGCCUCUCCGGAAGAACCAGUAGUCUUUUUCAGCCCUGAUCUCUCUCCUCCUCUCCACCCCCAAGCUGCUGAACCAUUUUUCAUGUCAAUCACAAAGAAAAAAAAUAAAGUGGGGGUGGGGAGGGAACUCCUAGGAGCCUAUUACCACAUGCAUAUUAAUAUGUUAAUACUUUCUUUAUUAAAAACAAUUCUCAAUGUUAUUAUUUGGCAGACUGUGCUUUAUAGUACCUGUGUGUCGGGGCUAGAACACUGGAUACAAAUAGAGCUAUGCUGGUUUAUAAUCUGUAUGCAGCGUCUUUCCUUUUGUCACAUUAUCCUCGUAAUGUAAGAAGAUUAUUAAUAAAAGCAUUUAAAUUGACACACC
rnacentral:lncRNA from 1 species